rnacentral:rRNA from 1 species
AAGAAGCAGUCUUGGAGAAUGAAGUUUUGGAGGGGAAAAUGAGCACCAAAUUCAGAAAUUCCACUUGGGUUGGAAAGUAGACAGGCAGCGCUUUCCAACAACCACACUUGGGCACAAUUUGGACUCCAGAAGGUACCUUAGAAUUGUCUCCAAAGUUGCACAACACAUAUAGAUUUGGGCAUAGCGCAUAUAGACCAAAAGGCCAAAAUCACUUCCGCUCUACGACAUUUCGAUUCGCGAAUUUCUCCAAGUGGGCCCGCUCAUUUACACUACACUUUUUUUGGCACCUAAGGUAAAGUUUAAAGUAUUUCCACUAAAGGUUGGCUUCUAUCCAAGUGGCAAAGGAAGGCGAGCACUCACCCAAUCCAUUUGUCAUUUUUGUAAUGCUGCACCUGUAACUAAUGGUUGGCUUUCCACUUCCACUUUGUAAUGAUUUGAAAAACUCCCCAACUCUUGGUUGUUAUAUUUCCCAAUGGCAUAGUCUAUUUAUUGUAUGCAAGCCAUUUUCAAAGGGUUGGUUGGUUGUAAUUUCUGGGAGACUGUGGGAGAGAAACUCAGUUACUCAUUGUAUAUUUUGACAGAGAAUUAAUGAAAGGUAGUAACUUCGGUUCAUGAGAUUCAUGUGGUGUGAGUGUAGCAAAUGUAUUCUCUUUAUGUUUCAUAUGUAUUUCAUUAUGUUUCACAUUUCAUUCAUAUUCAUUUCCAGUGAAAGUUUCUAAGUAAGAUAAGGUAGAAUUAAUGUUUAUUGCUCUGCAUGUGGGAAAAUUUCACGUUCUGUGUUCUUCUUCUGUUGAAAAGGACUCGUGUAUUUAUGCCCUUUUCACCCUUCUAAACAAUCUUUCCAUUUCGCAUUAUUUCAAACUUAAUUGCUAAACAUUUUUCCUGUCUUUCCUAACGAAACAAUCUGUGCUUUUGUGUUAAAUUCUCUGCUCGUAUUGUUCGUUGGUCCCAUACAUCCCAGAAACUCAGUCAUUUAUUAAAAAAUUGCCUCUUGCUUCCAUAUUUAUUUACCUAGCCUAAAAUCAAUAUUCAUUGCAAGUCAUCUCAGACCAUGUUGUUUAUCUAUUCACUAAGCAUGACUCGGAGAGAGCCCUCUCUUGUUCUGGUAGGGCUAGCUACCAGAUUGAGAGUGGUUUGUGGUUACCCUGAAUUUUGCCUUCCUUCGGCCUAAGGCAGAUUUAGGUGCUAACAGCGGGGCCCGAGAAGAGUUAUCUUUUCUUUUUAACAGCUUGCCCACCAUAGAAUCGGUUCACCCAGAGAUAGGGUCCAGCAGCUGGAAGAGCACCACAUGUCUUGUGGUGUCCUGUGUGCCCUCGAUGGCCCUUGAAAAUCUGGAGGACCGAGUACCGUUCAUGCCUGGUCAUACUCAUAACCGCAUCAGGUCUCCAAGGUGAACAACCUCUGGUCAAUAAAACAAUGUAGGUAAGGGAAGUCGGCAAAACGGAUCCAUAAAUUUGGGAAAAGUAUUGGCUCUGAGGGCUGGGCCUAGGGGUCUGCGCCCUCAACUCGUGGGCUGUCGACAGUUUGCCCGAGCUUCUCUCACGGUGAGGGUGGGAAGUCGCGUGCCGAUUGGGCUACGGGCGUAGAAUGCCCCCUACCGGGGGAUUUUCCCUAGGCGUCGAACAGUCAACUCAGAACUAGUAGGGACAAGGGGAAUCCGACUGUUUAAUUAAAACAAAGCAUUGCGAUGGUCCCUGCAGAUGCUGAUGCAAUGUGAUUUCUACCUAGUGCUUUGAAUGUAAAAGUGAAGAAAUUCAACCAAGCGCGGGUAAAUGGUGGGAGUAACUAUGACUCUCUUAAGGUAGCCAAAUGCCUCGUCAUCUAAUUAGUGAAGCGCAUGAAUGGAUUCAUGAGAUUACCACUGUCCCUAUCUACUAUCUAGUGAAACCAUAGCCAAGGGAACGGGCUUGGGAGAAUCAACGAGGAAAGAAGACCCUGUUGAGCUUCACUCUAGUAUGACUUUGUGAAAUGACUUGAGAGGUGUAGAAUACGUGGGAGCCAUUUUUGGUGCAAGUGAAAUACCACUACUUUUAACGUUAUUUUACUUAUUCCAUGGGGCAGAGAUGGGGCACUUCCCCUAUUUUUGCUUAAAGGCACGUUUCAGUGGUUCGAUCUGGGUGGAAGGCAUUGUCAGGUGGGGAGUUUGGCUAGGUGGCACAUCUAUUAAAAGAUAACGUAGGUGUCCUAAGAUGAGCUCAACGAGAACAUAAAUCUCAUGUGGAACAAAAGGGUAAAAGCUCAUUUGAUUUUUAUUUUUAGUACGAAUACAAACCGUGAAAGCGUGGCCUAUCAAUCCUUUAGAUUUUUGGAAUUUGAAGCUAGAGGUGUCAGAAAAGUUACCAGAGGGAUAACUGGCUUGUGGCAGCCAAGCGUUCAUAGCGGCGUUGCUUUUUGAUCCAUCGAUGUUGGCUAUUCCUAUCAUUUUGAAGUAGAAUUCACCAAGUGUUGGAUUGUUCACCCGCCAAUAGGGAACGUGAGCUGGGUUAGACCAUCGUGAGAUAGGUUAGUUUUACCCUACUGAUGAACCGCAUCGAAAUAGUAAUUCAACUUAGUACGAGAGGAACCAUUGAUUCACACAAUUGGUCAUCGUGCUUGGUUGAAAAUCCAGUGGCACAAAUCUACUAUGUAUCGGAUUAUCACUGAAUGCCUCUAAGUUAGAAUCCACACUAGAAGCGGUGCAUGUCACUCUUCGACUGUAUCUCGACCCACAAUAGGGGCGACGUUUUGUUGCUCCAAGGGGCCCGUGUCAUUUGCAAACCACGACCGUGAAGCAUCUCGAUCAGGGCAACUUUGAAGUUCAAUUC